CAGCCGCCGCGGUAAUACAGAGGGUGCGAGCGUUAAUCGGAUUUACUGGGCGUAAAGCGUGCGUAGGCGGCUUCUUAAGUCGGAUGUGAAAUCCCUGAGCUUAACUUAGGAAUUGCAUUCGAUACUGGGAAGCUAGAGUAUGGGAGAGGAUGGUAGAAUUCCAGGUGUAGCGGUGAAAUGCGUAGAGAUCUGGAGGAAUACCGAUGGCGAAGGCAGCCAUCUGGUCUAAUACUGACGCUGAGGUACGAAAGCAUGGGGAGCAAACAGGAUUAGAUACCCGUGUAGUCCCUGUCUCUUAUAC
rnacentral:rRNA from 1 species